UACGUGAGGGGCGAACGUUGUUCGGUGUCACUGGGCUUAAAGGGUGCGUAGGUGGUUGCGUAAGUAAGGUGUGAAAUCCCUCGGCUUACCCGGGGAAUUGCAUUUUAUACUGCGUGGCUUGAGGACUAAAGGGGAAAAGGGAACUCCAGGUGUAGCGGUGAAUGCGCAGAUAUCUGGGGGAAGGCCGGCGGCGAAGGCGCUUUUCUGGUUAGUACCUGACACUGAGGCACGAAAGCGUGGGGAGCAAACAGG
rnacentral:rRNA from 1 species